CAAUGGGAUGCCCAGGAGAGGAAGGCGCUGCAGCAGGUGGUUAAAACCAUCCAGAAGGUCAUUGGUACCCAUUUAUCGAGUAUCAGUGAUAUUGGUUUCUGAGACCACAAGCUCACCUACGGAGCCAGUGGGCUCCAUCAUAGGUGAGACGGGGUUGGAUCGUUUACUAGCCUCUGAAGUGUAGGUUGAUUUUGAUACUACAGACUCCUUCAAUGAGAAAGAUCAUUUGGGAGUACUACUCUGACCUCAGACAUCAGUUUGAUCCAUGGAAUUUUAGGUCUUCUGGUGGGAGGAUGGAUGGGAGUCCAGAUGUUACCAUGAUGACCUCAGUGGACAAGACCUAAGAAAGAAGAAGUGGCUGGUGAAGGGAAGUGCUGCCUACAGUCCUCCAAAGACCAGUGUGAUGGACAAGACACUCCUCAGAGACCUGAGUAACAUGACAUUGUUCAAGCACACAGGGGAGCUGGAGGUUUACCACAGCUCAAUGCUGAAGUAUGCAGAGAAGAGGAGGCACAUCAAAUACACCCCCACGCAGGCCAGAACUCAGCUCAGUGUCAUGGAUAACAACUACAAUGAUGAAUUGUUGAUGAAAAGUUGUUCUAGUUGCCCUUUUCUUAGCUGUCAGCUAUUUGCCUUUAGUGGGAUAAGUUUAAUGUGGUCUCACUGUUCCACCUUGUGGCAGUGCUAGGCCUAGCGGUAACUCAAUCUAAGCAACCAUUUGCCAUUCAGCUCGAUGUUUAAUGGUCCAAAGACAGACAAAUAGUCUGUCAUUGAUGACACAUCAUAUCAUGUCUCUUGGGGCAGCGGUGGCCCAAAGGUUACAGAAGCGAGCUUGUGACCAUGAGGUAAAAUCUGGGUAUGGAAAGUAAAACAAGCAGUGCUUGCCCACCCUAAUUUAUCACCAUUGAGGUGCCCUUGAGCAAGGCCCAUAACCCUAACAACUCCAGCUGAGCUGCUCAGUGGUCAGCAGAUCAGG